GGUGAGGUGGAUGAGUGUGGAAUAUGACGGGAUUUUUCUGGAUUUUUGAUGGAUUUCUAUGGAAUUUAUGGGUAUUAAUAAAAGUUGCUUUCUUCCGGGUCGGAUCCUGAUGGAUGGGUUGCCGCUCUAUUUUUCUCUCUUGGAUAGUCCACAGAUGAAUUAGUACGAUUCCACUGAAUAGGAGUAUGUGCCACGCUAUUAUACAUCAGCUACCGCUUAUCGUUCCCAUUUCCCAACAUUCGUCUUAUUCUUUCCUUCUCCCUCUCGGCCUCUCCGUCUCUUUUUCAUUCUCCCCGAGUGCACCAUCACCUCCAAUCCACAUUUUCCCUUUGUUUUCUCCACCUAGGGUUCCAUCAUUCACCACAAUCUGAGCCCUAAAUUUCUAUCCUCUCUCAUCUUCGGACAAAGUAGAGUUCUAUGAUUCAUUACAAUCUACCAUAACCAAAACAACUCUGUUUGCUCCAAUAAGUACAUUCAAGUUUCUUCUAUCUCUACUUCACACUCAGGUUAGAAGACACUGGCUGAGCUUAGCGAUCGUCUCCUUUCGGUUUGAAGACCACCAUGUUUCAUAGAGAGGACAAUUGUUCGUAAUUCUCUAUGCCCACCGCUUUGUCUCAAAGAAGAGCCUGAUGCAUGCAAAUCUUGAACACUCUGUUAUCUUCAUCUUCUUUUUCUCUCCACUUAACUCGAACUCUUUCUCUAUCUCUCUCUGGCCUACUUCUAUUGACACCCAACUCUUCUUAUUUGGCAAUUUUCAGGAAGGUUCCCUUUUUCUCCAACUGUUCGUUGUCCUAUUGAUUUUUAACUGUAGUUAAACAAUGGGGGAUUUCUUACACCAUCAGAGAACACGAACCCAAGCUUAAAAAAGAAACCCAACAAACUUGAAAUUGAAGAUGGAAGUUCAAAAUUAAAGCUAUUCAAUAAAACCAUCCAGGUUGAAGAUUAAUAGGUAAAUUUCCUCUUUCUUGUUGUUGGGGGCUAACAUUAACAAUCUGGUAAUCAUCUAAGCUCAUACUGAAAUUACAUGAAAAGUCAAAAGGUUAAUAUGGAACUAUGUUUUAUGCUUAAUUACAGGAACUCACUGGCUCCUUCAUUUUCAAUGUUUUUUGCAGGCCUGGAUCAUCAUCAAGCAGUUUUCUAGGCCUAAGAUAAAGAAGGUCAUCGGUGUUGGAGUCUUGGUAUAACCAUCUUUUGUAGGUCUAUCCUUCUAUGGUGACACUAAGUCUCAUACUCAUUAACAAUAUUUGUCUAUAAUAUAUUAAGGUCCAAACUGAAGGAUCACAUGCAGUAUUGUGUAGAUCAUCCUCAAGAAACCAACAAGGUUUCAAAGGUCAAAGCCCACCGUAGUCAAAGGUGUGAUUUGGAGAACACUGAAAAGGUAAAAUCGUUUUGGGUGUUUAUAUUAAAUAGUCAAACAAAUACUUCUACAAGUAUCUUAUAGGAGGUUGUUAUGAUAUUGUAAGUGAUGGUCAUUUGGAAAGUCGACAAGUUGGCGUUUGUUGGUUAA